AUGAGCACAGGGGACCUCGCCGCCAAUAUGUUCUUGUGAGCAAUCAAGGACUCACCGGACACGAUAAACUCAACGUCCGCCGCUGUGCCGCUCUGGAGCAGCUCGCCGAGGAGCUGGUGCAAGCCCGAGGACGGCACGACGGGCAAUGGUUAGUCAUCUCGGAUUGUCACUUCGGCCAGGUCCUUGAGCACCGUGACCGUGCAUUGAACGGUGAAAGAGUCGUCCUUGAGAUAG
rnacentral:rRNA from 1 species